CGCCACCAGAUGGUAGUUUGCGACGUCCGCACUUGACGGCUGUUCGUCACGACGGUUCGCUUGACGGCCCGGCGGCGAUGGCGGAGGGAGAGAGGGCGGAGAACGGUGCCGGUGCAGGAGUCAGCUCCGGGCGGCCGCCUCAGGAAGGGGAGCCGGGGACGAUGGAGCGGGCCGAAUCCCUCAAGACCCAGGCGAACGAUUACUUCAAAGCAAAGGACUACGAGAAUGCCGUGAAGUAUUACACCCAAGCCAUUGAACUGAACCCCACUAAUGCCAUCUAUUAUGGCAACCGGAGCUUGGCUUACCUGCGGACAGAAUGCUACGGAUACGCGCUUGCGGACGCCACGAAGGCCAUCGAGUUGGACAAGAAAUAUAUCAAAGGCUACUACAGGAGGGCCACCAGCAACAUGGCGUUGGGCAAGUUCAAGGCAGCCUUGCGGGACUACGAGACGGUUGUGAAGGUGAAACCAAACGACAAGGAUGCCAAGAUGAAGUACCAGGAGUGCAACAAGAUUGUGAAACAGAAGGCUUUUGAGCGGGCCAUCGCCAGCGAUGAGCACAAGCGGUCCGUGGUCGACUCUCUGGACAUUGAGAACAUGACCAUUGAGGAUGAGUACAGCGGCCCCAAGCUGGAUGAUGGGAAAGUGACCCCCGAAUUCAUGAAGGAGUUAAUGCAAUGGUACAAGGAUCAAAAGAAGCUUCACAGGAAGUGUGCCUACCAGAUUUUGGUGCAAGCAAAAGAGGUGCUAUCGAAACUCCCUACCUUAGUUGAAACAACGUUAAAAGAAACAGAGAAAAUCACAGUCUGUGGAGACACCCACGGCCAGUAUUACGACCUCCUGAACAUAUUUGAGUUGAAUGGGCUGCCAGCAGAAACGAAUCCCUAUAUAUUCAACGGGGAUUUUGUUGACCGCGGCUCCUUCUCGGUGGAGGUGAUAUUAACGCUGUUUGGUUUUAAGCUGCUAUACCCAGACCAUUUCCACCUACUUCGAGGGAACCACGAAACCGAUAAUAUGAACCAAAUUUACGGGUUUGAAGGCGAAGUGAAGGCCAAAUACACAGCCCAGAUGUUUGAGCUCUUCAGCGAAGUGUUUGAGUGGCUUCCUCUGGCGCAGUGCAUCAACGGCAAAGUGUUGAUAAUGCACGGUGGGCUUUUCAGUGAAGAUGGAGUAACGUUAGAUGAUAUCAGGAAGAUCGAAAGGAAUCGGCAACCUCCAGAUUCAGGUCCCAUGUGUGACUUACUCUGGUCAGACCCUCAACCUCAGAAUGGCAGGUCGAUCAGCAAACGGGGUGUGAGCUGCCAGUUCGGGCCCGACGUCACCCAAAGCUUCCUGGAACGCAACCAUUUAGACUACAUCAUCCGCAGCCACGAAGUCAAGCCCGAGGGAUAUGAGGUGGCCCACGACGGCAAGUGCGUCACCGUGUUCUCGGCCCCCAACUACUGUGACCAGAUGGGCAAUAAAGGUUCCUACAUCCACUUGAAAGGCUCAGACCUGCGGCCGGAAUUCCACCAGUUCACAGCAGUGCCUCAUCCAAACGUCAAGCCAAUGAUGUAUGCCAACUCGCUGCUACAGCUGGGGAUGAUGUGAGCUGCCCACCCGUCGCUGCCGCCUCCGCCGCCCUUUCCUCCCCUUCAGUCAGGAGACCCCCCAUUUUGCGCUCAGCAAACGACUGUGGUUUUCCUUUUCUCAAUUAUUAUUUUUUUGGUUCCAAUUUCUUCCAGCAUCAGCCUUCAUUACAAAGCAGGGGGGGCAGGAGAAUGGAGGGAGAGCGGGUGUUAAUGCCCUGAACAUCAAUUCCAGGGGCUGGGGUUGCAUAUGUAACGCACGCCCUUCCACCUCAUACAAAAAAAGGUAGGGCAUGGACCCUUCUUUUUUUUUUCUGUCAAUGCACUAGCGGCACAAGAGGAAACGGCAGCCAGAGUGUAACAAAAUGAAUUUUUAAAAAAUAUAUAUAUUGGAAGAUUGUAUUUAUUCCCUACAAUCUACUGUUUGUUUUGUUUUUUUCUUUCCCCCCUGGUCGUUCUGCUCAUCCUCCUUUAUGAACAAGACUUCCUUUCCAGGCCCAAUAUCCAGAAGAGAGAAGAUCAUUGGUUCUCAACCUUUGGGUCCCCAGAGGUUUUGGCCUUCAACUCCCAGAAAUCCUAACAACUGGUAAACUGGCUGGGAUUUCUGGGAGUUGUAGGCCAAAACACCUGGGGACUCAGAAGUUGAGAACCACUGGAGAAGAUGGAUGAAGGGUUGGUUGGCACUGUCUUAUGGUGAUACUGAUAAGGACAAAUAGCUUCCUAUGCUCAGUUCUGUGUCCUCUCGGUUGCUAUCAAGGACCAGACCCAUAUUUCAGGGAAGAAGAGUGAAAAGGAAGUGAUUCAGACUAUAGAGAGGCCAUUGGUCUUAGCUUGGAAGGGAAGAAAUGAGAGCAUACUCCAAGCAGCUGGAUAUUUGUGGUCUGAAUUGCCACAAACACACCUCAUUUCAUUGUGUUAUCAAAGACCCAAAUUGUAUUCAAGUGCAGUGAAAAAAAAAAGGCAUUUAACACAUGCCCAAAGGCACAAUCCUGUGUAUGCCUUCCGGAGUGUAGGGAUGGAGACAUAAUAUUAUGUCGUUGAAGGCUUUCAUGUCCAGAAUCACUGGGUUGCUGUGAGUUUUUCGGGCUGUAUGGCUAUGUCCCAGAAGCAUUCUUUCCUGAUGUUUCACCCACAUCUAUGGCAGGCAUCCUCAGAGGUUGUGAGGUCUGUUGGAAACUAGCCAAGUGGGGUUGAUAUAACCGUGGAAUGUCCAGGUUGGGAGAAAGAACUCUUGUCUGUUUGAGGCAGGUGUGAAUGUUGCCAUUGGCCACCUUGGUUAGCAUUGGAUACCCUUUCAGCUUCAAUGUCUGGCUGCUUCUUGCCUGGGGGAAUCCUUUGUUGGGAGGUGUUAGCGGGCUCUGAAUGACUCAUGUCUGGAAUUCCACCAUUUUCUGAGUGUUGUUCUUUAUUUACCUUCUUGAUUUUAGAUUUUUUUUAAAUACGGGUAGCCAGAUUUUGUUCCUUUUCAUGGUUUCAUUCAUUUUCGUUCAUUUUUAACAGAAAGGAGGAAACCAUGAAAAUGAACAAAAUCUGGCUACCACCAGUAUUCAGGAAAGCCUAAAAUCAGGGCAGUAAAUCAAGAACAGCAGAGGAAUUCCAGCAGUUGAAGUCCCAAACACCUGGAGGGCCGAAGUUUGCCUAUGCAAUGAGAUAUCCGACUAUUAAAGUGUUGUUAUUCUACUUUUGAGAAUCCUGAGAUUUGCAGUUCAGUGAGGCUCGAGAACUCCCUGGCGGAGCAUGACAAACUGCAAAUCCCAGGAUCCAAGAGGAGGCAAGAAAUAGAAUUUAAAGUGGGAUAACAACUCUUUAAUCGUGUAGUGCUGUCUUGAUUCAUUCAUUCAGCAGAUGAAUGAAUGAAUCAGGGCCAACACCUCCCAACAAAGGAUUCCCCCAGGCAGGAAUCAGCCAGGCCUUGAAGCUACAAGACCAUUAAAUGCGAAUGAAGGUGAUUAAUGACAACAUUCACACUUGCCUCCAACAGACAAAAGAUCUUUUUUCCCACCCUGGACCUUCCACGGAUAUAUAAACCCCACUUGGAUAGUUUCCAACAGACCUCACAACCUCUGAGGAUGCCUGCCAUAGAUGCGGGCGAAACGUCAGGAAAGAAUGUUUCUGGAACAUGGUCACACAGACCGGAAAACUCACAGCAACACACCUCAUUUCCAGGAAGCGGAGAUCUUUGGAUGGAGCACAAACUCAAGAUUUAACUCUCUGCGGCCCAUCCGAAAAGGAUGCCAGUCCCAAAAGGCAAAUGUUAGAUGAAUAUUGGAGUGUAUUCCCAAGUAUUGUGGCCUUUGAAAUUUCCAGGAAGGAAGGAAAGGUCUCUCCCUCCCUCCUGAUUUAUUUUAGGCUGCCAUCAGGGAUGCUAUACAAGUUUUCCCAUCCUUUCUUAGGUGAAAAACGUGGGCAACAAAUCCAGCCCAAGUUUGCCCAUAUCUGCACUUCAAAUCUAUGUGGAUUGGUCUACCUGCGAAAAUAGAGCAAAACUUUCUUCCUGAUGGCAGAUUUGCAGGGAUUUAUUCCGGAAGAGGAAUCUAGAACCGGCCUAUAUAAUGUUCUAGGUCUCCCAACCUCGCCUGUCUUUCCUCUUGUCUAGCACACAGUUGGCACUGUGCGAAGAUAGGAAUUCAUCUGGACACUUGACCACUCUCCAGUCCAGACUUUAUUUUGGUUUAAGAAAUCUAGAUUGGCAAAUUUGUGCUCUCUUUUGUCUGGAAUGGAGACAGUGAACACUUCCUUAGGCCAGAAUAUUGGGUGGGUGUUUGGGGGAAUGCUCUGUCUUUGUUGGAUUUCCAGUUCAGGACAGCACUACACGAUUAAAGAGUUGUUAUUCCACUUUAAAUUCUAUUUCUUGCCUCCUCUUGGAUCCUGGGAUUUGCAGUUUAUCAUGCUCCGCCAGGGAGUUCUCGAGGAUUCUCAAAAGUAGAAUAACAACACUUUAAUAGUCAGAUAUCUCAUUGCAUAGGCAAACUUCGGCCCUCCAGGUGUUUGGGACUUCAACUUCAAGUCCCAAACACCUGGAGGGCCGAAGUUUGUUCAUGCCCAAUCUACAGUAUUAUAUGAUGCAGUUUUGCGAUGCAAAUUGGAAUUCAGAAUGGGAUUAUAUCGCAGUGUGGUCUUAAAUAAUCCAGUCCAAUGCAGUUUAUGAGGAUUCGGAAACUGGAUUAUAUGGCACUAUAGAUCCAGCCGAAUUUAGGAGCAGUCUUAUCCGACUUCAUGGCUACUGACCAUCCUUUCUUCCUCCGCAACCUCUUCAUUUUCUUCCUUUUUCAUCCAAAGCAAGGCACAAAAGCAUAGAGACGGGGCCAUCAAGGUCCCAUUUUUUGCUAUGGAACCGACUGAAAGGAAACAGGGUGUUGCUUUCUAUAGGUUUUCCUCCCCUUUGCCCUGUUAACCCCACUCUUUGGGAGGAAGAUGUCAUUCCCCUGACCCCAAACGAAGCUGCUGCUUUUUCUUUUCUUUUGUGGCCGAAACAAAAAGAAAGAAAGAGAGGAACCAGCGAAUAUUCCAGAAGCACUUUGGAUGUUUUUUUUUUGUUUUCCCAUGAUGACCAUGGAGGGUUUUUAUACAUCCGGUCGCCCUCCUACCGACUGAGCUAUUUUACUGUCUGUAAUUAAAACAAAAAAAAGAUGUUAAAAAAUAAAGUGACUAUUGAAAGAUC